CUUUAAUAAUUAUUAAGUGGUCGGUUAAUUUUAUUGUGAAGUAAUCGCAUAUUCGGAAACCCCAGGGGGGAGGCUAAGACGUAAAUCAACCGGGAGAACGGGAAAUCCUACUGAAGGGUUUCCCUUUUGAAAUUACGGGGGCAGGGGUAUAAAACCGGGGGCAAUCCCCCUUAAAGUUGGGAUAACCCCGGGAAACCGGGGUUAAUCCCGCAUAAACUUUUUGCUGCCAAAAGUGAAAAUUGAAAGGCGGCUUUAGCUGUCAUUUAAGAAUGGCCCCGGUGCCAUUAGCUAGUUGGUAAGGUAACGGCUUACCAAGGCGACGAUGGGUAGCCGACCUGAGAGGUGAUCGGCCCACCUGGGACUGAGACCCGGUCCAGAUUCCUACGGGAGGCAGCAGUAGGGAAUCUUCCGCAAUGGACGAAAGUCUGACGGAGCAACCCCGCGUGAGUGAUGAAGGUUUUCGGAUCGUAAAACUCUGUUGUCAGGGAAGAACAAGUGCCGUUUGAAUAAGGCGGCACCUUGACGGUACCUGACCAGAAAGCCCCGGCUAAUUACGUGCCAGCAGCCGCGGUAAUACGUAGGGGGCAAGCGUUGUCCGGAAUUAUUGGGCGUAAAGCGCGCGCAGGCGGUCCUUUAAGUCUGAUGUGAAAGCCCACGGCUUAACCGUGGAGGGCCAUUGGAAACUGGAGGACUUGAGUACAGAAGAGGAGAGUGGAAUUCCACGUGUAGCGGUGAAAUGCGUAGAGAUGUGGAGGAACACCAGUGGCGAAGGCGACUCUCUGGUCUGUAACUGACGCUGAGGUGCGAAAGCGUGGGGAGCGAACAGGAUUAGAUACCCUGGUAGUCCACGCCGUAAACGAUGAGUGCUAGGUGUUAGGGGGUUUCCGCCCCUUAGUGCUGAAGUUAACGCAUUAAGCACUCCGCCUGGGGAGUACGGCCGCAAGGCUGAAACUCAAAAGAAUUGACGGGGGCCCGCACAAGCGGUGGAGCAUGUGGUUUAAUUCGAAGCAACGCGAAGAACCUUACCAGGUCUUGACAUCCUCUGCCAAUCCUAGAGAUAGGAUGUUCCCUUCGGGGACAGAGUGACAGGUGGUGCAUGGUUGUCGUCAGCUCGUGUCGUGAGAUGUUGGGUUAAGUCCCGCAACGAGCGCAACCCUUGAUCUUAGUUGCCAGCAUUUAGUUGGGCACUCUAAGGUGACUGCCGGUGACAAACCGGAGGAAGGUGGGGAUGACGUCAAAUCAUCAUGCCCCUUAUGACCUGGGCUACACACGUGCUACAAUGGAUGGAACAAAGGGCAGCGAAGCCGCGAGGUCAAGCAAAUCCCAUAAAACCAUUCUCAGUUCGGAUUGCAGGCUGCAACUCGCCUGCAUGAAGCCGGAAUCGCUAGUAAUCGCGGAUCAGCAUGCCGCGGUGAAUACGUUCCCGGGCCUUGUACACACCGCCCGUCACACCACGAGAGUUGGUAACACCCGAAGUCGGUGAGGUAACCUUUGAGCCAGCCGCCGUAAGUGACCGAUUGCU
rnacentral:rRNA from 1 species